rnacentral:lncRNA from 1 species
GUGGACCCGGACGUGCCGUCCCCUCAGUCUAAGGAUGCCCAGUACACAGUGACCUUCUCUCACUGUAAGGACUACGUGGUAACUGUCACAGAAGAAUUCCUAGAGUUCAUUUCUGAUGGCGCGCUGGCAGUUGAAGUGUGGGGCCACAGGUGUGCUGGGAACGGAAGCCCCAUCUGGGAGGUCGAUUCCCUCCACGCGAAGACAAGGACAUUACACGACAGUGUGUGUCUGUGUUCUCACAGAUGGAGUCAGAGGACACCUUGCAGGAGUCUGUUACCAACUUCCACCAUGUGGUUCCCGGGGAUUGAAUUCGGGUCGUCUGGUUUGAAGGCACGCCCCUUUACCAACUGGGCCACCUUGUUGACCCAGAUCUCAAAUUUAAAUGAAAAGCAAAAAAAAAAAAAAAAA